rnacentral:rRNA from 1 species
GUCCUUUAGUAAAUGAAUUGAAGGUCUGACCUGCCCACUGAAUUAUUUAAAUGGCCGCAGUAAUUUGACUGUGCAAAGGUAGCAUAAUCAUUAGUUUUUUAAUUAAAAGCUUGUAUGAAGGGUUGGACGAGGUAAAAUCUGUCUCUAUUUAAUUUAAUUUAGAAUUUAAUUUUUAAGUUAAAAAGCUUAAAUAUUAUUAAAAGACGAGAAGACCCUAUAGAUCUUUAUAUUAUUUAAAUUUAUUUUAAUUAAGAAUUUUUUAUUAAUAAGUUUAAAUAUUAUUUUAUUGGGGUAAUAAAAAGAUUAAAUAAAUUCUUUUUAAAUAUAAACAUUAAUUUAUGAAUAUAUGAUCCAAAUUUAUUGAUUAUAAGAUUAAGUUACCUUAGGGAUAACAGCGUAAUUUUUUUAGAGAGUUCAUAUCGAUAAAAAAGUUUGCGA